UCAAGUUGAAUAUCCUUUCUCCGUCUUUUCGGAAUGUGCUUCUUGUUCGUCCUGCUAUUUUUUCGUGUCAAAACUCCAGGACCUCAUUGUCUUCCAGACACCCAACAGACGUUCUUGAACAAAGUCAUCAAUUCCAUUGCUCCAGCCUAUGUCAAGUGGCCAACAUAUUGUUUGGAAUUGCUACAAUAAAGGUUAUGCAUGAUAACGACA